CAGCAACAUAGCAAUCCAUGAAUGGAUUAUAGUAGACAAUAUUCCUCCGAUUUUAAUGUUUUGCUCGGGCCAAAUAAAUACAGAUGCAGGCUUGAAUAAUAGCAGUUUCAGGCGGGUGUCGACGUUCUCACAGAUGGCCAUUCUUAUUUUUUAUUUUAUGUUUUUGUCGCACUGCAACUUGCCGCGGUAUACCGCAGUAUAACAAGGCAUGCCUUGUCGAGGAUCACCCCCUUGGUGCUGGAAUUAGAUAAGCAACAUCUGUAAGGAAAGUGGAAAAGAGACACAGACUUCCUUGACUCGCUGAGGGACAUGGACAAUGCUAACCGGCCAUCCUGCAGCAUAGACAGGAGCAGCAGGACCAGUAUAUGCAGCUGUUAUACUGAGGAAAAGAGUCAGGCUGAGGAGUGCCCCGUAAAGAGUGGUUUUGCAGGCUGGGAUGGGCUACAGGACAAUAGGCAAGCAGCUUGGUGAGAAGGCAACAACUGUUGGCGCAAUUAUUAGAAAAUG
ensembl:lncRNA